GUAGUACUCCUUCCGUUCGGAAUUACUUGUCUCGCAAAUGGAUGUAUUUAAAACUAAAAUAGUUCUAGAUACAUUCAUUUUUGCGACAAGUAAUUCCGAAUGGAGGGAGUACAAG
rfam:Triticum aestivum genome assembly, contig: Triticum_aestivum_CS42_TGACv1_scaffold_579767_7BL